ensembl:lncRNA HULC hepatocellular carcinoma up-regulated long non-coding RNA
GAGCUGACAGACCCUGGCUGAGCAGGAAGUGGCAGGGUCAGGAAAAGCUAGGCCACAAGUUUUCCCUUGAGAGCCUUAGAGUCUAGCCCUGUCGCCCAGGCUGGAGUGCCAUGGUUUGAACUCUACUCACCGCAACCUCCACCUCCCAGGUUCAAAUGAUUCUCCUGCCUCAGCCUCCUGAAUAUCUGGGAUUACAGGCUGGAGUGCGAUGGCGCGAUCUCUACUCACUGCAACCUCCAUCUCCUGGGUUCAAGCAAUUCUCCCUCAGCCUCCCGAGUAGCUAGGACUACAGCCAGCAAGGGAGACAGUGUCUAGAGGCAGUCAUCUAGCAAGAUGGAGACUUACAACAUGAGGCACAUACAAGAGUGACCUCCCAUCGUCUUUGAGGCAUUCUAUUUCUUAGCCUCCCUCUGGAGCGAAGUGGCAUAAUCUCGGCUCACUGCAACCUCUGCCUCCCAGGUUCAAGCGAUUCUCAUGUCUCGGCCUCUUGAGUAACUGGGAUUACAGGUGUCUUUGUGAAGCUUCCUAUCUUUGCUUUUCAACUAAGAUGAAACAGCAUUUAAAAGAAAAUGCCAUGUGAGAUGAGAUCAGGAGAAUGGAUUCUUUCUUUCAUCUGAAUAGAGAGCUGCUGUUCGAGAUUCAGAGUGUCAUGUGAAUGUUCGUUUCAUGGAUGUAUUGUGUACUGUAUUGAGGAUGAAAUACUACAGAUUGAAAUGCUCUGGAAUGCAGUUUUAAAACUUUCAUCUGAACAUCGUUACAUCUAUGCCCAGGAAUUUCCAAAUUCUAAACCAAAUGAUACAGCUAGAGUUUGAAGACAAUUUGAGAGCUGGUGAAGAUGACAGUUACUUCUUUCUGUUUCUUGCUCUUUGUAUAAUGGAAAUGAAUGUUACUUUUAAUGAGUCAGUUGCAAGAAAUUAAGAUAUCUGCUAGACUGGUUCUUUCUUUCUUUCUCCCUCUCUCCAUCCCUCUCUUCUUCUCUUCCCCUUUCCCUCCCUCCCUCUCUUUUUCUUUGCUUUCUUCCUUUCUUCCUUCUUUCCUCCCUCCAUUUCUCCCUCCUUCUCUUCCUCUCUUUCUCCUCUUUGCCUCUACUUCUCUUCCUUCCUUCCAUCUGUCUGUCCUUCCUUGCUUUUGUUCAUUGCAAGGAACUGACACACAAGGAAUACAUACAGUGGAGGUCCUACCAUGACCAGACACUGUACUAGGCAAGUGAGCUAGAGAAGGGGACAAGAUAAAUAAGACCCUGCCCAAAUGAAGAAUCCAGUCAGGCAAAUAAGCUAUGGAAAGAUAUGAGGGAAAUGUUGGGGUAAUAAAAGAUCUCAUAGGAGAAAUAUGUAGUCCAGGCUCCCAUGAGCUCUCUCUCUCUCUUCCAACCUUCAGCCCCCUUCUUGCUCUUUGGGGAUUUCUAGGGAGAUGUAUGCCUUAUAUGCAAAAUGAAGUACCAGAAGAUAAAAAAGUCAAAUAGAAAUUAAGAUUGUAUAGAUUAUUCUGCAGAGUUGAUCAUUCACUUUCGUGUGAAAAAUUGGUUAUAUAUGUUCUUACUUUUCUCACUGUAAUACUUUUACAAGAAACUUCUCAGCACUUCGCUUUCUUUGUCUGCAAAAAUGACACAGAGAUUUUUUAAAAGGUGGGGUUUCCCACCUUUUCAAGCAAAUGGUGCAUUUCCCAGCUGGCUCUUGUUACAGUGGAUGCAAAUGCAAACAUAUUCUUGAUUGAGAUCUGUGAAAUCUCCAGAAAGUUCUUAAUAUUGAUUUACAUCCUCCCUUGCAGAAAUAAUUAAUAUUGAUUACUGAGAGGCACUUAGCUUGAUAAUAAUUGCACCCAGUUCACAACAAAAGCAAGUCAAUUGUGGUGCUUAGGAAUUUUUAAUAGUGAUUUUUGUCUUUUAUUAUUUUAUUUUUCAUGUCUAAAUGAGAAUUGACCUUGCAUAAAAUCUGUUUAGCAAAUUCAAAUUAGACAAAGCAAAAAUAUUUAUAUGGGUGGGUAGGCUUGAAAGUAGCUGAAACGUCUAAAAAUAAUGUGGGAAUAAUUGGCAUAAUAGGGCAAAUCAUCAAUUAUGACGCAUGCUUCAAAACUGAUUUGAACGUGGUACCUCAGUAUGUGACUUAAGUGAUACAGUAAAUAAUGUUAAAUAAAGAAAUACCAUGACUUAUGCAAAUCUAA